rnacentral:tRNA from 1 species
CGGAUGGCCAUAGUUUAACCAAAACACUAAGUUGUGGACUUAGAGACAAGAGCGAA